rnacentral:lncRNA from 1 species
UUCUCUCUCUAGCCCAAAACGCUCUCCCUUCUCUCUAGAAUGGGAGACAAAGCACAGACCUUCAAAAAUCUCGACCCACCACCCGAUAUUCCACCUUUACCCGGUGGAUUUCAACCCCAAACAACACAAGAUCAACAACAAAAUCAAAAUAUUACUGUUUUGGAAGCGAUUGGAUUGAUUUCUAAUAAGAACAAUGAUGGCACGUUUCCCAAUGUCAUCAAAACUUCAUCUUCUGGAGUGAUUCAGGAUCUGGGACCAUCACCAAUGAUUCCAGAAGGGCCGAAAACCCU